GGGGUUCCGGCCCGGGGGCUGCGGCCGCCGGGUCUGAAAGUUAGCUACCCUGGUUUCGGUAAGGG
rnacentral:rRNA from 1 species